rnacentral:rRNA from 1 species
UGAAGAGUUUGAUCCUAGCUCAGAGUGAACGCUAGCGGUGCGCCUAACACAUGCAAGUCGAGUGGGUUUAGACCCACGGCAGACGGCUGAGUAACACGUUGGUACCUACCCCGAACUCAGGGAUAACCCCGCGAAAGCGGGACUAAUACCGGAUGGUCCCCGCACCUUUUUGUCCUUUGUUACAAUGAAUUCAUGCACUUCGUCUAUCUUCUAUACAGCGAAUCUUCCGAUCGAUUCUAUGUCGGCUCAACGAGUGAUCUUGGGCAGAGAUUACAAUCUCAUAACGACAAGAGGAACAAGUCCACAGUUUAUGGUGCGCCAUGGAAAUUGGUGUACUACGAAGCAUAUGGGAAUCGAUUGGCAGCCCUCGAUCGUGAACGUAAAUUAAAGAAUCACGGAAAAGGUAUUGCUGAAUUGAAGAAGCGAAUUGCAAUCAGAGAGCAAAAAGGUGCGGGGUAAAGAUUUUUCGGUUCGGGAGGGGCCUGCGGCCUAUCAGAUAGUUGGUGAGGUAAUGGCUUACCAAGUCGAUGACGGGUAGCUGGUUUGAGAGAACGACCAGCCAGAAUGGAACUGAGACACGGUCCAUACUCCUACGGGAGGCAGCAGUGAGGAAUCUUCCGCAAUGGGCGAAAGCCUGACGGAGCGACACCGCGUGAAGGAUGAAGCCAUUUUUUGGUGUAAACUUCUGUUGUGAGGGAAGAAAUUUUUGACGGUACCUCACGAGAAAGCAUCGGCUAAUUCUGUGCCAGCAGCCGCGGUAAGACAGAAGAUGCAAGCGUUACUCGGAAUUACUGGGCGUAAAGGGUCCGCAGGUGACUUGUCACGUCUGGGGUUAAAGCACGUCGCUCAACGGCGUGUAUGUCCCGGAAACGAACAGGAUAGAGCCAUUCAGAGGUAUCUGGAAUGCUGUGUGUAGGGGUAAAAUCCGUUGAUCCACAGUGGAACGCCAAAAGCGAAAGCAGGAUACUGGGAAUGUGCUGACACUCAGGGACGAAAGCGUGGGGAGCAAACGGGAUUAGAUACCCCGGUAGUCCACGCCCUAAACGAUGCGUGCCCGGUGUAGGAACUUCAAUCAGUUCCUGUGCCUCAAGCUAACGCGGUAAGCACGCCGCCUGGGAAGUACGGUCGCAAGACUAAAACUCAAAGGAAUAGACGGGGACCCACACAAGCGGUGGAGCAUGGGGUUUAAUUCGAUACUAAGCGAAGAACCUCACCCAGGCUUGACAUCUCGGGAAGGUCUAAGAAAUUAGACUGUGCCGCAAGGAACCCGAAGACAGGCGCUGCACGGUCGUCGUCAGCUCGUGCCUUGAGGUGUACUGUUAAGUCAGCGAACGAGCGCAACCCUCAUCCUCUGUUGUAUUUUCAGGGGAGACUGCCGCCUCCAAGGCGGAGGAAGGUGAGGAUGACGUCAGAUCAGCGUGGCCUUUAUGCUUGGGGCGACACCCGUGCUACAAUGGCCGGUACAAACCGCAGCAAACCCGCGAGGGGGAGCCAAUCGGAAAAAGCCGGUCUCAGUUCGGAUUGAAGUCUGCAACCCGACUUCAUGAAGCCGGAAUCGCUAGUAACCGUGAAUCAGCCAUGUCACGGUGAAUAUGUUCCUGGGUCUUGUACUCACCGCCCGUCAACUCAUGGAAGGUAGGAGCACCCGAAGGGCCGUUACGCGCAAGCGGCGGUACCACGGUGAAACUACUGACUGGGAGUAAGUCGUAACAAGGUAUCCGUAGGAGAACCUGCGGAUGGAACAUUUCCUUA